rnacentral:lncRNA from 1 species
AGUACAUUAAAGACAUUCACCUUAAAUAGAAGUGUAAGAAUCUUCUAUUUCAUAACAGUAAACACUUUAUAUAUGUGACGGGCUUUCAGCUCAUCCGUAAUACUUAAGGGAUCGUCUGGUAUAUAAGAUAGGGGAUAAUAAUUUCGGGAUUAAAUGUGCUAUUAUUUUAUGAUGCAUUUGGUUAAAUUUUAAAAUUAUCGAUUAGCAAUUCCGGGAUUAAUUAAUCCUUGUAUUGUUGAUCAAUUAAAUUAGUGUUUAAUAUAAGCGAUUUUCUUGAGAUUGUUGAUUACCUAGCUUGUAUUUUUCAUACUACCAAUUAUUUCACUAUGUAUAACAGCAAGGUGCAGGAGUUAGUCAAAAUUCAACAGUUGCUAUAGAGACAUUAAGCCCAAAGUUGCAGGUAAUUGCUCUAACAUUCUAGAGAAUAUAUUUUCUUAAAGUUUUUUUUAGCAAUAAUUAUACUAUUAUUUGCUACUACAUUAAAUAUGUAAAAUUGGAAAUAUAACGAAUAUUCCAUUUGAAUUGUCACAGAGAACGCCAUAUCAACAACUACCUCCUCGAAGACCUGCUUGCACAUCUUGACAUUUUCGCUUUUAUUGAAAAUCUCAUCAAUGCUGCCCUUUCGGGUAGGGAUAAGGCUCGUCUACAUAUUACUCUCCUCAGACCCCACUUUAUGGGAUAUUACUAAGUAGUUGUUGUUAUUGUUGUUGAAAAUCUCAUCAAUAAAAUGAUCAGAAACCGAUCGUUUUUCCUUUCGCUCCACAAGCAUUUUCUUGAAUAUCAUGUGUUAUGGGAUUGUAUGUCAUGUGAAAGUUUCACUAAUUAUGAAAUGGUGUUACCUUCUACCAAUUGUUUGAGAUUUUCUAACAUUCUUAUAAUUAUUUCACUCCAAUUUUCAUAGUGUGUAAAUGUAAUCUCUAACAUAUGUUGCUAAAAAGUGUGAGGGAUCAAUUCGGAUUGACUUUGAUCCGCU